rnacentral:misc_RNA from 1 species
GGGAAUUCCUGCACAGACAGAUACUGAUGGGGCUGCAGAUCAAAGUUUCCAAGCAGGAUUAAGCACAAGCACACAAGGUCAGUACGCACCUACCUUUGCAGGAGGGCAGCCACGACCUACCGGCCAACCAGUGCCCCUCAGUGGUGGUCCUGACAUGCAGGGCUAUGGACUUGACGAUGAAGAAAUGUUGAGGCUCAGAGCAGAGAGAGGCGGAAGGGCUGGCGGAUGGAGUGUAGAGUUCAGUAGAAA